GUUGGAGGUUUCUUUUAUGUCAAGAGAAAUUUCGUCAUAAGAGUAAUUAGCGGCUUAUAUUCCACAUUAUCUUCGUUUAUUCAAAUUAGUGGCGUAUUGCAACGUGAAAACAAAUGUCUUGUCAAGUACAGAAACCACACAAGAGCUGCACAAAAUUCAAGUGUUAUAUUUUAAAAUAAGAUGUAAUAAUUGGCAUGCUGAUUGCAGUAUUUUCGGUGGCAUUUCUCGUCGGAUCUUUAAUGGUAUCAUGGGCAUUAUCAUAUUUUACUUCAAUUCUCUACGACAAUUUUAUGAACAUCGCGAAAUAUUACUCUUUUUCGCUUACAACUGAAUACAGGUUUAAAAUCAUUGGCUUUAUAAAGAGACUUGGAGGAAGACCAUUCGGAUUAUCAAUGUGGGGAUUUUUCUAUAUCAAGAGAAAUUUCUUGAUAAAAGCAAGUUUUAAUAAUUGCAAAAUAGCAGUUUCUGGUCUUAAUUGUAGUGCCGUUAUCAACACAAUGUAAUCGUAUCCGA